UACGUAGGGUGCGAGCGUUGUCCGGAAUUAUUGGGCGUAAAGGGCUCGUAGGCGGUUUGUCGCGUCGGGAGUGAAAACCCAGGGCUUAACCCUGGGCUGGCUUUCGAUACGGGCAGACUAGAGGUAUGCAGGGGAGAACGGAAUUCCUGGUGUAGCGGUGAAAUGCGCAGAUAUCAGGAGGAACACCGGUGGCGAAGGCGGUUCUCUGGGCAUUACCCGACGCUGAGGAGCGAAAGUGUGGGGAGCGAACAGG
rnacentral:rRNA from 1 species